CCUACGGGAGGCAGCAGUGGGGAAUCUUCCGCAAUGGGCGAAAGCCUGACGGAGCAACGCCGCGUGAGUGAAGAAGGCCUUCGGGUUGUAAAACUCUGUCUUCAGGGAAGAAAGAGAUGACGGUACCUGAGGAGGAAGCCACGGCUAACUACGUGCCAGCAGCCGCGGUAAUACGUAGGUGGCAAGCGUUGUCCGGAAUUACUGGGCGUAAAGAGCGCGUAGGCGGGGAUUUAAGUCAGGAGUGAAAACUGCGGGCUCAACCUGCAGCCUGCUCUUGAAACUGGAUUUCUUGAGGGUAUGAGAGGAAAGCGGAAUUCCCAGUGUAGCGGUGAAAUGCGUAGAUAUUGGGAGGAACACCAGUGGCGAAGGCGGCUUUCUGGCAUACAACUGACGCUGAGGCGCGAAAGCGUGGGGAGCGAACGGGAUUAGAUACCCCGGUAGU
rnacentral:rRNA from 1 species